rnacentral:tRNA from 1 species
GGUCCGGUAGUUCAGUUGGUUAGAAUGCCUGCCUGUCACGCAGGAGGUCGCGGGUUCGAGUCCCCGUCCGGACCGCCA